AUGAACGCUGGCGGCGUGCCUAAUACCUGCAAGUCGAGCGAACGGACGAGAAGCUUGCUUCUCUGAUGUUAGCGGCGGACGGGUGAGUAACACGUGGAUAACCUACCUAUAAGACUGGGAUAACUUCGGGAAACCGGAGCUAAUACCGGAUAAUAUUUUGAACCGCAUGGUUCAAAAGUGAAAGACGGUCUUGCUGUCACUUAUAGAUGGAUCCGCGCUGCAUUAGCUAGUUGGUAAGGUAACGGCUUACCAAGGCAACGAUGCAUAGCCGACCUGAGAGGGUGAUCGGCCACACUGGAACUUAGACACGGUCCAGACUCCUACGGGAGGCAGCAGUAGGGAAUCUUCCGCAAUGGGCGAAAGCCUGACGGAGCAACGCCGCGUGAGUGAUGAAGGUCUUCGGAUCGUAAAACUCUGUUAUUAGGGAAGAACAUAUGUGUAAGUAACUGUGCACAUCUUGACGGUACCUAAUCAGAAAGCCACGGCUAACUACGUG
rnacentral:rRNA from 1 species